UAAAUUACCUCUUUAGAGCGCAUUGCAACUAUCUCUGAACUGUCGUAAAAAGGCGAAAACGCAGGAUUUUGUCAUUAUUUUAAUAUUCAUUAUAAUCACAUUCCUUACAAUGCCCUUAUUCUAUAUAUUUGUUGAGAGAACGCGUAACAUAUCGAAAAGUAAUUAGCCUUGAUAACAGUUCUAGUUAAAACUGGUAUAGGCAAGUUAUAGUUCUCAUUACCUUUUUUGUGGUUGUGAGGGAGAUACAGAGAUGUAUCCAGAGUGAUGAUUUAAUUAUCCAAUUACGUUAUUAAAGAUAGUAAGUGUUUACGAUGAUAAAUUAAUACGCAGAGAAAUCUUCUAGGCGUUUACGAGUCUGAAAGUGUCAGAUAUGUCAGAUCGGACACGCGUGUUAUAACUGGAUAAGCGUAACCUGUAGAAAGUUCAAUAUCAAAUUAUCUUCGUGCAUGUCAUCCACGAGUUAGUCAUAUUAUAUCGGGGACUUGAGCCAUAGGAUCUUGUGGUGAAGUGACACUUGAGGGUCAAUAUGAGCUGGGCACUAUCGAGAUAAAACCGGUUUGACACGAGCCCUCUGAUGGAUUUUAUAUCAACAAAACUGUUCCGUUUACUAUUAUCAAUUGAAUUUAUAAACAACGAUGUCGCUUACAGUACUUUGGCACUUAGACUAGAUUAUUCUAAUAUAAAUAUCAACCGAGAACUGCUGCAAGGUUUUUAGAAACAUACAAAUAAAAAUAAGUUAUUCGAGACAAUUGUAAUGUUUUACCAUUCGGAGAACUCAGUAUAAUCUGUUUCACUCAAUGAGGUUUGCAGUUUCAUUUAUAUUUUUUCUUUAGAUACAUAGAAGACCAGCCUUCUGUGCCGAAAAGGUGCGUAGACUUUUCGGGAUGCUUCAAGAUGAUGAUUUCUUCAAGAAGAUGAUUCCUUUAUCGAAAGGGCAAACGAAAGAAAAUUCCACUGGUGAAUUAAGAAGUGAAACCUACGUUCAUUGAGAUGACAUAGGUCAAAAGGUAGAUAUUAGAUGGUUUUGCCGGGCUGACAGUGAAACACCAAGACAAUCCUUAAAUCAGAUUGGGUCUUCACAUCAUUGGUUUCGUAUUUGAGGAGUGCAAACUGUUCGUCAGUGAACCGAACGCCCUUUUCGAUGUCGACCUGCUUCAGUUCUUCCAGUUCAGCUCUACAUUUUGCCAAUAACUGUUCUGCACUUAGCUGUUCACCCUCUUCCUCCGUAACCUCGGGUUCAGCUUCUUCUUCGAGUGCCUAGAAUUGCGUGUUUAUUUAUAGCAAGGCCAACUCAGUCACCGGUAUGUUUUAAGGCCUAACAUGAAUGUUUGAAUGGUGGUCUCGUUUUUUUAAUAAUUAUUUAACCUUUAUUUUAUUACUAUUUUUUCCCAGAGAGUCUCACAACAGUUGUUCUUUUCAGUUAGUCCACAAGCACUUGAUUAAAAUUUUUAUUUAUGAUCAACUAAAUCAAGAGUAUGAAACGAUUUUGUUAUGACCAAUUGAACGCGCUGUUAUUUUAGAUCUGGUUGGUAAGGUUAGGUCAAUGUUUACUGCUAAACUUGUUAUUAAAUUCUGCAAAGUACGAAUGUCGUAACUCGAUUUUGACCCUUCCAAAUGUACUCAGAUUAUUGAGUUAAUAAUAACCAAAAAUAUUACUUAACGCUUAAAGUCAAAUGCAUUAUCUUAAAGUACUUAAUUGAAAACAAUAAUAUUUACAUGUUAAAAUAACCUUGUUUUAUCAAUAAACACGUGUAAUUAUGAAUUAAGUGCAUCUAUUUGAAGUUUAUUAUCAAUUUUUCUUAAUAAACUGUUUUAUGUA